UACAGAGGUCUCAAGCGUUGUUCGGAUUCAUUGGGCGUAAAGGGUGCGUAGGCGGCGCGGUAAGUCGGAUAUGAAAUCUCGGAGCUUAACUUCGAAACUGCAUUCGAUACUGCCGUGCUUGAGGACUGGAGAGGAGACUGGAAUUUACGGUGUAGCGGUGAAAUGCGUAGAUAUCGUAAGGAAGACCAGUGGCGAAGGCGGGUCUCUGGACAGUUCCUGACGCUGAGACGCGAAAGCGUGGGGAGCAAACAGG
rnacentral:rRNA from 1 species